CCUACGGGGGGCAGCAGUAGGGAAUCUUUCACAAUGGGCGAAAGCCCGAUGGAGCAACGCCGCGUGCAGGAUGAAGGCCUUCGGGUUGUAUACUGCUUUUAUAAGCGAGAAAUAUGAUGGUAACUUAUGAAUAAGGAUCGGCUAACUACGUGCCAGCAGCCGCGGUCAUACGUAGGAUCCGAGCAUUAUCCGGAGUGACUGGGUGUAAAGAGUUGCGUAGGUGGCAUAAUAAGUAGCUAGUGAAAUCUGGUGGCUCAACCAUUCAGACUAUUAGCUAAACUGUUAAGCUCGAGACCGUUAGGGGUAACUGGAAGUUCUAGUGUAGGAGUGAAAUCCGUAGAUAUUAGAAGGAACACCAAUAGCGUAGGCAGGUUGCUGGGACGGUUCUGACACUAAGGCACGAAAGCGUAGGGAGCAAACGGGAUUAGAUACCCGAGUAGUC
rnacentral:rRNA from 1 species